rnacentral:rRNA from 1 species
AGUGAACGCUGGCGGUAGGCCUAACACAUGCAAGUCGAACGGCAGCACAGUAAGAGCUUGCUCUUACGGGUGGCGAGUGGCGGACGGGUGAGGAAUACAUCGGAAUCUACUUUUUCGUGGGGGAUAACGUAGGGAAACUUACGCUAAUACCGCAUACGACCUACGGGUGAAAGCAGGGGAUCUUCGGACCUUGCGCGAUUGAAUGAGCCGAUGUCGGAUUAGCUAGUUGGCGGGGUAAAGGCCCACCAAGGCGACGAUCCGUAGCUGGUCUGAGAGGAUGAUCAGCCACACUGGAACUGAGACACGGUCCAGACUCCUACGGGAGGCAGCAGUAGGGAAUAUUGGACAAAGGGCGCAAGCCUGAUCCAGCCAUACCGCGUGGGUGAAGAAGGCCUUCGGGUUGUAAAGCCCUUUUGUUGGGAAAGAAAAGCAGCAGGUUAAUACCCCGCUGUUCUGACGGUACCCAAAGAAUAAGUACCGGCUAACUUCGUG